GCCGGGAUAGCUCAGCUGGGAGAGCAACAGACUGAAGCGCUUAGUAAGUGUUCUGGAGGUCGCGUGUUCAAUCCACGCUCCUGGCA